AGAGUUUGAUCCUGGCUCAGGACGAACGCUGGCGGCGUGCUUAACACAUGCAAGUCGAACGAGGUCCACUGAGUAGCAAUACAAGGGAAGACCUAGUGGCGAACGGGUGAGUAUCACGUGAGAAACCAACCCCGGUCUCUGGGAUAACAGUUGGAAACGACUGCUAAUACUGGAUGUCGUCGUACCCUCGCAUGGGGGGAUGACGAAAGGGUUACCGGAUCGGGACGGUCUCGCGGCCUAUCAGCUUGUUGGGGAGGUAACGGCUCACCAAGGCUUCGACGGGUAGCUGGUCUGAGAGGAUGAUCAGCCACACUGGGACUGAGACACGGCCCAGACUCCUACGGGAGGCAGCAGUGGGGAAUCUUGCGCAAUGGGCGAAAGCCUGACGCAGCAACGCCGCGUGCGGGAUGAAGGCCUUCGGGUUGUAAACCGCUUUUAACAGGAACGAAAAUGACGGUACCUGUAGAAUAAGGUGCGGCCAACUACGUGCCAGCAGCCGCGGUGACACGUAGGCACCAAGCGUUGUCCGGAUUUAUUGGGCGUAAAGAGCUCGUAGGCGGUUCAGUAAGUCGGGUGUGAAAACUCUGGGCUUAACCCAGAGACGCCACUCGAUACUACUGUGACUAGAGUUCGGUAGGGGAGCGGGGAAUUCCUAGUGUAGCGGUGAAAUGCGCAGAUAUUAGGAGGAACACCGGUGGCGAAGGCGCCGCUCUGGGCCGAUACUGACGCUG
rnacentral:rRNA from 1 species